GAUGAAGAACGUAGCGAAAUGCGAUAAGUAGUGUGAAUUGCAGAAUUCAGUGAAUCAUCGAAUCUUUGAACGCACAUUGCGCCCCUCGGUAUUCCGUGGGGCAUGCCUGUUCGAGCGUCAUUUAACCCCUCAAGCCUAGCUUGGUAUUGGGUGCUUGUCCCGCCUCUCGCGCGGCGACUCACCUCAAAGUCAUUGGCAGCCCGCAUCUCACCGGCCGUGAGCGCAGCACAGACGCGCUCUUGGCAACGACGGAUCGGCUCUCCAAAAGCUUAUUUCAACCACUGACCUCGGAUCAGGUAGGGAUACCCGCUGAACUUAAGCAUAUCAAUAAGCGGAGGA
rnacentral:misc_RNA from 1 species